GGAGAAAUGGCAGAGCGGUCGAAUGCGGCGGUCUUGAAAACCGUUGAUCUGUAACCACGGAUCCGGGGGUUCGAAUCCCUCUUUCUCCG
rnacentral:tRNA from 2 species